rnacentral:rRNA from 1 species
AUUGAACGCUGGCGGCAGGCCUAACACAUGCAAGUCGAGCGGAGCGGCGGACGGGUGAGUAAUGCCUAGGAAUCUGCCUGGUAGUGGGGGAUAACGUCCGGAAACGGGCGCUAAUACCGCAUACUAUCAGAUGAGACUAGGGCGGAUUAGCUAGUUGGUGGGGUAAGGGCCUACCAAGGCGACGAUCCGUAACUGGUCUGAGAGGAUGAUCAGUCACACUGGAACUGAGAAAGGGGCCAGAAUCCCACGGGAGGCAGCAGUGGGGAAUAUUGGACAAGGGGCGAAAGCCUGACCCAGUCAUGGCGCGUGUGUGAAGAAGGUCUUCGGAUUGUAAAGCACUUUAAGUUGGGAGGCGGUACCAACAGAAUAAGCACCGGCUAACUUCGUGCCAGCAGCCGCGGUAAUUC